rnacentral:rRNA from 1 species
GAGCUCAAAUUUAUAAUCUGGCACCUUCGGUGUCCGAGUUGUAAUCUCUAGAAAUGUUUUCCGCGUUGGACCGCACACAAGUCUGUUGGAAUACAGCGGCAUAGUGGUGAGACCCCCGUAUAUGGUGCGGACGCCCAGCGCUUUGUGAUACAUUUUCGAAGAGUCGAGUUGUUUGGGAAUGCAGCUCAAAUUGGGUGGUAAAUUCCAUCUAAAGCUAAAUAUUGGCGAGAGACCGAUAGCGAACAAGUACCGUGAGGGAAAGAUGAAAAGCACUUUGGAAAGAGAGUUAACAGUACGUGAAAUUGUUGGAAGGGAAACGCUUGAAGUCAGACUUGCUUGCCGAGCAAUCGGUUUGCAGGCCAGCAUCAGUUUUCCGGGAUGGAUAAUGGUAGAGAGAAGGUAGCAGUUUCGGCUGUGUUAUAGCUCUCUGCUGGAUACAUCUUGGGGGACUGAGGAACGCAGUGUGCCUUUGGCGGGGGUUUCGACCUCUUCACACUUAGGAUGCUGGUGGAAUGGCUUUAAACGACCCGUCUG